UGCGUUUUAAUUUUGCUCUAUUUGUUGUGGUGCUAUGAGUUUUUAGUUUGUUUUUAUGUUGUUUUUUGUAAAAUAUUUUGAUUUUUUUUUAGUUUCUUGUGGUAUCAAAAAUUUGUUUUUUGAACUGGAUUAGUACCCAGGUAAUCAAAAUUUAAUAAUUCGGGAGUAAAGUUUUGUUUAAACCGAAAAAAUAUUGACUGACUUUAGAUUUUUCUUUGGAACAUGUGAUUUGCUGGAGAGCCCUCUUUUUUGGUGAAUUUUGUUGGCACAUGUAUGAUUGUUUAGUUUUUAUUUUAUUUUGUAAUGCUUUGUUGUUUUGGCAUUAAAAACAGAUAUAUAUUUGGCUUAUGAAUUUAUGUUUCAUGUGUUACUAUUAUGAAUUUUUUUUGGAUUAGUUUUUUAUUUUUUUUUGAAAUUGGAAAAGAAAGUAAUUUUUUUUUAAU
rnacentral:rRNA from 1 species